CAGUGUGUAGUUUAAGUUAAAAUAUUAAUUUUGGAGAUUAAAGUUAAGUUUUCUUCUCACUGA
rnacentral:tRNA from 1 species